rnacentral:rRNA from 1 species
AACCGUGUACGUACAAGCAGUGGGAGCCUCUUUAUGGGGUGACUGCGUACCUUUUGUAUAAUGGGUCAGCGACUUAUAUUCUGUAGCAAGGUUAACCGAAUAGGGGAGCCGAAGGGAAACCGAGUCUUAACUGGGCGUUAAGUUGCAGGGUAUAGACCCGAAACCCGGUGAUCUAGCCAUGGGCAGGUUGAAGGUUGGGUAACACUAACUGGAGGACCGAACCGACUAAUGUUGAAAAAUUAGCGGAUGACUUGUGGCUGGGGGUGAAAGGCCAAUCAAACCGGGAGAUAGCUGGUUCUCCCCGAAAGCUAUUUAGGUAGCGCCUCGUGAAUUCAUCUCCGGGGGUAGAGCACUGUUUCGGCAAGGGGGUCAUCCCGACUUACCAACCCGAUGCAAACUGCGAAUACCGGAGAAUGUUAUCACGGGAGACACACGGCGGGUGCUAACGUCCGUCGUGAAGAGGGAAACAACCCAGACCGCCAGCUAAGGUCCCAAAGUCAUGGUUAAGUGGGAAACGAUGUGGGAAGGCCCAGACAGCCAGGAUGUUGGCUUAGAAGCAGCCAUCAUUUAAAGAAAGCGUAAUAGCUCACUGGUCGAGUCGGCCUGCGCGGAAGAUGUAACGGGGCUAAACCAUGCACCGAAGCUGCGGCAGCGACACUAAGUGUUGUUGGGUAGGGGAGCGUUCUGUAAGCCUGUGAAGGUGUACUGUGAGGUAUGCUGGAGGUAUCAGAAGUGCGAAUGCUGACAUAAGUAACGAUAAAGCGGGUGAAAAGCCCGCUCGCCGGAAGACCAAGGGUUCCUGUCCAACGUUAAUCGGGGCAGGGUGAGUCGACCCCUAAGGCGAGGCCGAAAGGCGUAGUCGAUGGGAAACAGGUUAAUAUUCCUGUACUUGGUGUUACUGCGAAGGGGGGACGGAGAAGGCUAUGUUGGCCGGGCGACGGUUGUCCCGGUUUAAGCGUGUAGGCUGGUUUUCCAGGCAAAUCCGGAAAAUCAAGGCUGAGGCGUGAUGACGAGGCACUACGGUGCUGAAGCAACAAAUGCCCUGCUUCCAGGAAAAGCCUCUAAGCAUCAGGUAACAUCAAAUCGUACCCCAAACCGACACAGGUGGUCAGGUAGAGAAUACCAAGGCGCUUGAGAGAACUCGGGUGAAGGAACUAGGCAAAAUGGUGCCGUAACUUCGGGAGAAGGCACGCUGAUAUGUAGGUGAAGCGACUUGCUCGUGGAGCUGAAAUCAGUCGAAGAUACCAGCUGGCUGCAACUGUUUAUUAAAAACACAGCA